rnacentral:rRNA from 1 species
AGAGUUGAUCAUGGCUCAGAAUCAACGCUGGCGGCGUGCCUAACACAUGCAAGUCGAGCGAGAGGGGGUAGCAAUACCCUAGUAAAGCGGCGCACGGGUGAGUAACACGUGGGUAAUCUGCCUCGAAGUGGGGGAAUAACACCGGGAAACCGGUGCUAAUACCGCAUAAUCUGAUUGGAUCUGCGGAUCUGAUCAGCAAAGGAGCAAUUCGCUUUGAGAGGAGCCCGCGGCUGAUUAGCUAGUUGGUGAGGUAAUGGCUCACCAAGGCCACGAUCAGUAGCCGGUCUGAGAGGACGGUCGGCCACACUGGAACUGAGACACGGUCCAGACUCCUACGGGAGGCAGCAGUGGGGAACUUUUCGCAAUGGGGGCAAACCCCCUGACGAAGCAACGCCGCGUGGAUGAUGAAGUCUCUUGGGACGUAAAAUCCUUUCGACGGGGACGAAACCGCAAGGUUGACGGUACCCGUAGAAGAAGCCCCGGCUAACUCCGUGCCAGCCGCCGC